AUUGAACGCUGGCGGCAUGCUUUACACAUGCAAGUCGAACGGUAACAGGCCUUCGGGUGCUGGCGAGUGGCGAACGGGUGAGUAAUGCAUCGGAACGUACCCAGAGGUGGGGGAUAACGCAGCGAAAGCUGUGCUAAUACCGCAUGUGAUCUGAGGAUGAAAGCGGGGGACCGAGCAGCAAUGUUUGGCCUCGCGCCUUUGGAGCGGCCGAUGUCGGAUUAGCUAGUUGGUGGGGUAAAGGCCUACCAAGGCGACGAUCCGUAGCUGAUCUGAGAGGACGACCAGCCACACUGGGACUGAGACACGGCCCAGACUCCUACGGGAGGCAGCAGUGGGGAAUUUUGGACAAUGGGCGCAAGCCUGAUCCAGCAAUGCCGCGUGCGGGAAGAAGGCCUUCGGGUUGUAAACCGCUUUUGGCAGGAACGAAACGGUGUCCGCUAAUACCGGGCGCUAAUGACGGUACCUGCAGAAUAAGCACCGGCUAACUACGUG
rnacentral:rRNA from 1 species